rnacentral:lncRNA from 1 species
CAUUCAGAACCUACGUGAAUAUGGUUACCGUAUAAUUCAUCCCUUUUGACCCCUGUGUUUAGGACGACUCAGGGUUAAACUGUCAACCCUGAUGAGAUCAUCCGAAUCGUGCUCAACUCAAUUAGUCCUGUGACUCCUCAUUAGGACUAUCCUGGCCAAGAUUUUGCUAAAUUGAAACACGACUGUACACAGCUCCUAAACUGGAGUGGUCAAUCCCAUCUUGACACAUGCACCGACAAGUCAAGUACUUGACCACACCCAGCAGCCUUCCGUCACUGAAUUAGAAAUUCAGAUAGUCCAGUGC